CGGGGCGUGGCGCAGCCUGGUCAGCGCACGUGCUUUGGGUGCACGAGGUCGUCGGUUCGAAUCCGACCGCCCCGA
rnacentral:tRNA from 1 species